rnacentral:tRNA from 1 species
GUGGGUAGAGCUCGCUGGUAGAGCGCAUGCUUAGCACGCACGAGGUCCUGGGUUCAAUCCUCAAUACCUCCA